GCGGAAGUGGCGGAAUGGCAGACGCAGCAGACUCAAAAUCUGCCGGUGGUAACAUCGUGUGGGUUCAAGUCCCAUCUUCCGCA
rnacentral:tRNA from 3 species